CACGGGCAACCCAGAACUGGCCCUGCGGAUUAAUUUGACUCAACACCCCCCAACUCCCCCGGCCCGGACACCGUAAGGAUUGACAGACUGAGAGCUCUUUCUUAAUUCGGUGGGUGGUGGUGCAUGCCCGCUCUUAGUUGAUGGAGCGACUUGUCUGCCUAAUUCCGACAACGAACGACACUCUGGCCUAUUAAAUAGGCGCUUCAUAGAAAAGUGUAUCGAACUUCUUAGAGGGACCAGCGCCGCCUAGCCGCAUGAAAUACAGCAAUAACAGGGUCUGUGAUGCCCUUAGAUGCCGGGGCUGCACGCGCACUACACUGAAACAGUCAGCGUGCGUUUUACCUAGUUCGGAACAACCGGCUUACCCAAGCAAAUUCUUUCGUGCUUUGGUAUAGAGAAUUGCAAUCCCUUCUCUUAACGAGGACUUCCCAGUAAUGUGGGUCAUAAGCUCGCCUCGAUUCCGCCCCCUGCCCCUUUGUACACACCGCCCGUCCCCUCCUACCCGAUUGGAUGACUUAC
rnacentral:rRNA from 1 species